rnacentral:rRNA from 1 species
CCUACGGGAGGCUGCAGUGGGGAAUAUUGGACAAUGGGCGAAAGCCUGAUCCAGCCAUGCCGCGUGUGUGAAGAAGGCCUUCGGGUUGUAAAGCACUUUCAGUGGGGAAGAAAGCCUUGGGGCUAAUACCCUCGAGGAAGGACAUCACCCACAGAAGAAGCACCGGCUAACUCCGUGCCAGCAGCCGCGGUAAUACGGAGGGUGCGAGCGUUAAUCGGAGUUACUGGGCGUAAAGCGCGCGUAGGCGGUCUGAUAAGCCGGUUGUGAAAGCCCCGGGCUCAACCUGGGAACGGCAUCCGGAACUGUCAGGCUAGAGUGCAGGAGAGGAAGGUAGAAUUCCCGGUGUAGCGGUGAAAUGCGUAGAGAUCGGGAGGAAUACCAGUGGCGAAGGCAGCCUGCUGGACUGACACUGACGCUGAGGUGCGAAAGCGUGGGUAGCAAACAGGAUUAGAUACCCGAGUAGUC